GAGUAAGUAAAUAAGGGCGUACGGGGGAUGCCUAGGCUCUCAGAGGCGAAGAAGGACGUGACAAGCUGCGAAAAGCUGCGGGGAUCCGCAAGAGGAAUUGAUCCGCAGAUAUCCGAAUGGGGCAACCCAUCCCGCGUUAGCGGGAUAUUCCGCAAGGAAGGCAAACCCGGGAAACUGAAACAUCUAAGUACCCGGAGGAAGAGAAAACAACAGUGAUUCCGUGAGUAGUGGCGAGCGAAAGCGGAGCAGCCCAAACCGGAUCUGUUACGGCAGGUUCGGGGUUAUAGGACCGAUAAAAAGAGAACAUACCUGACUUGAGUUGUCUGGGAAGGCAAACCAAAGCGGGUGAUAGUCCCAUAGGGGAAGGGUAUGUGAUUGGAUUGGUAUCCUGAGUAGGUCGGGACAGGAG
rnacentral:rRNA from 1 species